rnacentral:rRNA from 1 species
UUUCGCCCGCCGGCGACCGGCGCACGGGUGAGUAACACGUAUGCAACCUGGCCGCCACAGGGGGAUAACCCGCGGAAACGCGGCCUAAUACCCCGUGACGCCACCGGAGGGCAUCCUCCGGUGGCCAAAGGAGCGAUCCGGUGGCGGAUGGGCAUGCGGCGCAUUAGGUAGUUGGUGGGGCAACGGCCCACCAAGCCGACGAUGCGUAGGGGUUCUGAGAGGAAGGUCCCCCACAUUGGAACUGAGACACGGUCCAAACUCCUACGGAAGGCAGCAG